UACGUAGGGGGCGAGCGUUGUUCGGAUUCACUGGGCGUAAAGGGUGCGUAGGUGGCGAGGUAAGUCGGAUGUGAAAGCUCGGAGCUCAACUCCGAAAUGGCAUUGGAAACUACCUUGCUCGAGGGUUGGAGGGGGGACUGGAAUUCUCGGUGUAGCAGUGAAAUGCGUAGAUAUCGAGAGGAACACCAGUGGCGAAGGCGAGUCCCUGGACAACUCCUGACACUGAGGCACGAAAGCUAGGGGAGCAAACAGG
rnacentral:rRNA from 1 species